CCUCCGUGUGUCCGCCGUCUUUACUCUUUCUCAAUUUUUUAAACCCUUAAUCAUCAACUCCUCUUUUAUUAUUAAUUUUUUCUUAUUUUAAACUCCUUUUUUUAUAUAAUAUAAUUACUUUAUCUCACGCCUCCGCCCCGGCUCCCUCCGUGCCCGCCGCCGCGGUCCUCCGGCGGGUGCCCGCGUUCCUCGUAAUCACUGGGCGUAAAGAGCGCGUAGUCGGGAUAGCAAGUCAUAUGUUAAAUCCUAUGGCUUAACCAUAGAACUGCAUUUGAAACUGUUAUUCUAGAGUAUGGGAGAGGUAGGUGGAAUUCUUGGUGUAGGGGUAAAAUCCGUAGAGAUCAAGAGGAAUACGCAGGGCGAAGGCGACCUGCUAGAACAUAACUGACGCUGAUGCGCGAAAGCGUGGGGAGCAAACAGGAGGAGAGACCCGUUAGUC
rnacentral:rRNA from 1 species